GGUGAGAUGGCUCAGUGGGUAAGAGCACCAGACUGUUCUUCUGAAGGUCUGGAGUUCAAAUCCCAGCAACCA
rnacentral:tRNA from 1 species